GAGGCAAGCUCACAGCUCACUGCAUAAACGAAACAAGACAAUAAAAGAAGCGAGUGCCGAACAUCUAUGUCUUUCUCGUGUUUCGACAAGAAAUGAGUUCCCAGACUUAUUUCUUCCUGUUUGCAGCGAAAGAAGUUUAAGCUUCGUUUUCGUAAGGAAUUGAUAUGAAGGAUACAUUGCAAAAGGUGCUAUACAG